rnacentral:rRNA from 1 species
UAGGGAAUAUUGGACAAUGGGCGCAAGCCUGAUCCAGCCAUGCCGCGUGAGUGAAGAAGGCCCUCGGGUUGUAAAGCUCUUUUGUCCGGAAAGAAAAGCAUCGGGUUAAUACCCCGGUGUUCUGACGGUACCGGAAGAAUAAGCACCGGCUAACUUCGUGCCAGCAGCCGCGGUAAUACGAAGGGUGCAAGCGUUACUCGGAAUUACUGGGCGUAAAGCGUGCGUAGGUGGUUCGUUAAGUCUGAUGUGAAAGCCCUGAGCUCAACCUGGGAAUGGCAUUGGAAACUGGCGGACUGGAGUGCGGUAGAGGGUAGCGGAAUUCCCGGUGUAGGAGUGAAAUGCGUAGAGAUCGGGAGGAACAUCCGUGGCGAAGGCGGCUACCUGGACCAUCACUGACACUGAGGCACGAAAGCGUGGGGAGCAAACA